GCUACUGUGGCUCAGUCGGUUUGAGCUCUCAUGCCAAGUGUCAAUGAUUAAGUUGUACCUUGUUUCGGAGGGUGGGGUUCGAGUCCCUCCUGUAGCA